UACGGAGGAUCCAAGCGUUAUCCGGAUUUAUUGGGUUUAAAGGGUGCGUAGGUGGCCUGGUAAGUCAGGGGUGAAAGACGGUAGCUCAACUAUCGCAGUGCCUUUGAUACUGCCGGGCUUGAAUACAGUUGAAGUGGGCGGAAUGUGACAAGUAGCGGUGAAAUGCAUAGAUAUGUCACAGAACACCGAUUGCGAAGGCAGCUCACUAAAGUGUGAUUGACACUGA
rnacentral:rRNA from 1 species